AAGCUUGAAGUCUGGAGGGGGUGAGAUGCCCUGUGCCCCUCCCUGGAGGAAUUUCAUUCAUCCUGGAACACCUUAGGGGAAAAUUCACACUUUGUGUGCAAUCACAGUGCACAGUCAGCUGUUACAAAUCGGCCGAUUUUCG